AUGGAAGCUUGAUUUGAAGCUUGAGUGAUUUUCUCUCUCUAGCUCUAGUUUUCACACUUUUGAACCCUUUUGACUAGAACCUUUGAAUUCUUUCAUCCUCUCACUUUAAAACCCUUCACAAAUUUGGUUUUCACACUUUCUCUCACUAGUUGGACGUUCUAGAGAGAGAAAGAGAGAAUUACACCAUUUAUUUGGAAGUAAUUGGAAGGGAAUUUGACUACA
rnacentral:lncRNA from 1 species